UACGGGGGGGGCAAGCGUUGUUCGGAAUUACUGGGCGUAAAGGGCUCGUAGGCGGCCAACUAAGUCGGACGUGAAAUCCCCAGGCUCAACCUGGGAACUGCGUCCGAUACUGGAUGGCUUGAAUCCGGGAGAGGGAUGCAGAAUUCCAGGUGUAGCGGUGAAAUGCAUAGAUAUCUGGAGGAAUACCGGUGGCGAAGGCGGCAUCCUGGACCGGCAUUGACGCUGAGGAGCGAAAGCCAGGGGAGCAAACGGG
rnacentral:rRNA from 1 species